GCCUACUUAGCUCAGUUGGUCAGAGCAUUGCUCUUGUAAAGCAAGGGUCGUCGGUUCGAAUCCGACAGUGGGCU
rnacentral:tRNA from 1 species